GCUGGGAAGACUAUUUAUUUAUUGAACGCGUCAUUGUUGAACAUAUCCUAUGUGUUAUGCUCACGGAGGAUAUGGCAGUGAGUGAGUAAAGCCCGUGCGUUAAAUCCAGCACGAAGAUGUGUUCAGGGUGGUCUUCGCGGGGCUUUUACGAUUGUCGACAUUUAAAACUUAGGAGACACCAUGUAAAAUUCUGGUUUCCCAGCUUCUCUUGAAAAGUGGCAAUGUCUGAUGUCGACUGGCCAGAUUUCUGCAAAACAGCAAACUGGCUGGCGGGUGGUUUGCUGUCAUCUCCACCUACUCCCUAUUGUUCCCCAACACCAAGGACGACUGUCACUUACAACCGUGUCUAAAAAGGAGAUGCCACGUGUCCUCAUGGCCCUCACCACUUCUCCGCACCUGUGUCCCUUGCCCUGAGUGAUUUUUCUGGACAGCCCCAUCUGCCGGCACAGGUGACAGGCCAGCAGUGGCCGGGCAUUCACACCGUCUGAGAGCAGCCCCACCCCAAUGACUGAUGGGAGGUGAGGAGCAAUUUUAUCUCUGCUGUCUCCCUGCUUGGCAAGCAGAAACU
rnacentral:lncRNA from 1 species